UGAUUACGAGUGGAAAGACUAGGGCUGACCCAGUGGCGCAGUGGUUAAGUGCGCACAUUCCGCUUCUCGGGAGCCCGGGGUUCGCUGGUUCGGAUCCCCAG
ensembl:miRNA eca-mir-9000 eca-mir-9000